AGAGGGAUUCUACUCUUAUCUCCUUGUCCCAUCCACCCCUAGCCCUCAUGGUUGUUCCGGUCCCAAACCCCCUUUUUUCCGAGAAAACAAAAAAGAGAGAGAAAAUCACCACGACUCAUCGCUGAACCCUGAACUUACUGGAAAUAUUGCAUAGCAACAGCUAUCUGAUCUGCUACGUUUUAGAGAUGAUUCAGCUCCCAAACACAACCAGGACAUAAUGAAGAUAUCUGUUGAUGCAUUAGGCCUCAACUAACUAAAAGAGCUCUAUUCAGGCUUGAAAAUGCAGUAAAUAACCAAAUGCAGUAAAUAACCAUACCACUAUGCACAUGAUAUACUGACUUGGCAAUGCAGCUGAAUAUCGUAACCAUUAUGCACCUCUAAUUGUGUCCACUCUGUCGAUAACAUCCAAAGCUUUCAUCCGGUCAAUGUCAAAGUCAAACACUGGAACAGAAGACGGUCUCCUUAUAGGGAAAGGGUUCUUUCUGGUUUCAUUUAUAGGUGAAUGGCUACUGCUCUUACUCAGCCUGUGGUACUUGCUCAACCCUGUGUCUGCAAAUUCUUGAGACUUGCUAAUCCCUGGAGUUAGUUUUCUCUUGCUUACAUCACGAAGCAUUUCUCGGUCUUCAACCGUUAACGGG